GAUGAAGAACUCAGCGAAAUGUGAUAAGUAAUGUGAAUUGCAGAAUUCAGUGAAUCAUCGAAUCUUUGAACGCACCUUGCGCCCUUUGGCUAUUCCGAAGGGCAUGCCUGUUUGAGUAUCAUGAACACCUCAACUCUCAUGGUUUGCCAUGAUGAGCUUGGACUUUGGGGGUCUUGCCGGCCUAUGGGUCGGCUCCUCUCAAAUUAAUCAGCUUGCCAGUGUUUGGUGGCAUCACAGGUGUGAUAACUAUCUACGCUUGUGGUUUUCCAUCAGGUAACCUUCAGUGAUGGAGGUUCGCUGGGGCUCAUAAAUGUCUCUCCUCAGUGAGGACAGCUUUUUUGAACGUUUGAUCUCAAAUCAGGUAGGACUACCCGCUGAACUUAAGCAUAUCAAUAAGCGGAGGA
rnacentral:misc_RNA from 1 species